UACGGGGGGAGCAAGCGUUGUUCGGAUUUACUGGGCGUAAAGGGCGCGUAGGCGGCCACUGCAAGUCAGUUGUGAAAUCUCCGGGCUUAACCCGGAAAGGUCAGCUGAUACUGCAGGGCUAGAGUGCAGAAGGGGCAACUGGAAUUCUCGGUGUAGCGGUGAAAUGCGUAGAUAUCGAGAGGAACACCUGCGGCGAAGGCGGGCUGCUGGGCUGACACUGACGCUGACAGCGCGAAAGCUAGGGGAGCGAACGGG
rnacentral:rRNA from 1 species